GACGAACGCUGGCGGCGUGCUUAACACAUGCAAGUCGAACGGAAAGGCCCUGCUUUUGUGGGGUGCUCGAGUGGCGAACGGGUGAGUAACACGUGAGUAACCUGCCCUUGACUUUGGUAUAACUUCAGGAAACUGGGGCUAAUACCGUAUAGGAUCUCCUGCUGCAUGGUGGGGGUUGGAAAGUUUCGGCGGUUGGGGAUGGACGCGCGGCUUAUCAGCUUGUUGGUUGGGUAGUGGCUUACCAAGGCUUUGACGGGUAGCCGGCCUGAGAGGGUGACCGGCCACAUUGGGACUGAGAUACGGACCAGACUCCUACGGGAGGCAGCAGUGGGGAAUAUUGCCCAAUGGGCGGAAGCCUGAUGCAGCAACGCCGCGUGCGGGAUGACGGCCUUCGGGUUGUAAACCGCUUUCGCCUGUGACGAAGCGUGAGUGACGGUAAUGGGUAAAGAAGCACCGGCUAACUACGUG
rnacentral:rRNA from 1 species